GAUGAACGCUGGCGGCGUGCCUAAUACAUGCAAGUCGAGCGAACAGACGAGGAGCUUGCUCCUCUGACGUUAGCGGCGGACGGGUGAGUAACACGUGGAUAACCUACCUAUAAGACUGGGAUAACUUCGGGAAACCGGAGCUAAUACCGGAUAAUAUAUUGAACCGCAUGGUUCAAUAGUGAAAGACGGUUUUGCUGUCACUUAUAGAUGGAUCCGCCCCGCAUUAGCUAGUUGGUAAGGUAACGGCUUACCAAGGCAACGAUGCGUAGCCGACCUGAGAGGGUGAUCGGCCACACUGGAACUGAGACACGGUCCAGACUCCUACGGGAGGCAGCAGUAGGGAAUCUUCCGCAAUGGGCGAAAGCUUGACGGAGCAACCCCGCGUGAGUGAUGAAGGUCUUCGGAUCGUAAAACUCUGUUAUUAGGGAAGAACAAAUGUGUAAGUAACUAUGCACGUCUUGACGGUACCUAAUCAGAAAGCCACGGCUAACUACGUG
rnacentral:rRNA from 1 species